rnacentral:rRNA from 1 species
GCUCGUAGUCGGAUUUUGGCUGAGAACGGUCGGUCCGCCGUUAGGUGUGCACUGACUGGUCUCAGCUUCCUGGUGAGGAGGUGUGCUUCAUCGCCACUUAGUCACCGUGGUUACUUUGAAAAAAUUAGAGUGUUCAAAGCGGGCUUACGCUUGAAUAUAUUAGCAUGGAAUAACACCAUAGGACUCCUGUCCUAUUUCGUUGGUCUCGGGACGGGAGUAAUGAUUAAGAGGAACAGUUGGGGGCAUUCGUAUUUCAUUGUCAGAGGUGAAAUUCUUGGAUUUAUGAAAGACGAACUUCUGCGAAAGCAUUUGCCAAGGAUGUUUUCAUUGAUCAAGAACGAAAGUUGGGGGCUCGAAGAUGAUUAGAUACCAUCCUAGUCUCAACCAUAAACGAUGCCGACUAGGGAUUGGCGGAUGUUAAUUGAUGACUUCGCCAGCACCUUAUGAGAAAUCAAAGUUUUUGGGUUCCGGGGGGAGUAUGGUCGCAAGGCUGAAACUUAAAGGAAUUGACGGAAGGGCACCACCAGGCGUGGAGCCUGCGGCUUAAUUUGACUCAACACGGGGAAACUUACCAGGUCCAGACAUAGUAAGGAUUGACAGAUUGAGAGCUCUUUCUUGAUUC